GAAAUGCGAUAAGUAAUGUGAAUUGCAGAAUUCAGUGAUUCAUCGAAUCUUUGAACGCACAUUGCGCCCGCCAGUAUUCUGGCGGGCAUGCCUGUUCGAGCGUCAUUACAACCCUCAGGCCCCCGGGCCUGGCGUUGGGGAUCGGCGGAAGCCCCCUGCGGGCACAACGCCGUCCCCCAAAUACAGUGGCGGUCCCGCCGCAGCUUCCAUUGCGUAGUAGCUAACACCUCGCAACUGGAGAGCGGCGCGGCCACGCCGUAAAACACCCAACUUCUGAAUGUUGACCUCGAAUCAGGUAGGAAUACCCGCUGAACUUAAGC
rnacentral:misc_RNA from 1 species